rnacentral:sRNA from 1 species
UGCUCACCGUGAAAAACUCUGAAUCACCUUUUCAUUUUGCAGAAUGGAGGAACACCUCUGCUUUAUGCUGUACAUGGAAAUCAUGUGAAAUGUGUAAAGAUGCUCUUAGAAAGUGGGGCUGAUCCAACAAUUGAAACUGACUCUGGAUAUAAUUCUAUGGAUCUAGCUGUAGCCCUAGGCUAUAGAAGUGUUCAACAGGUUAUUGAGUCACAUUUGUUGAAGCUGCUUCAAAAUAUCAAGGAGUAGACACAGUCAUCAGAAAAUGUCUGCCCUUUUGUUUACUUCUUGGUCCUUAUAAAUGAUAGUUUUUGUUUACUUAUAAAUUUUUACCUCAGUUGCAAUAUUUACUGGUUUUUAGUAGGUUUUAAUAAAUAUUUCUCUGAGUAAUUCACUGGUUUAUAAUAAAUUUAAUACUCUUUUUAUAACUAUGUUUUACUGUAUAUUUAAAAUUAUAAAUUAAUGUUUCAUGGCAUGUAAAUUUUUAUGGUACAGAUAGUUAUCAUCAGUCUUUG